rnacentral:rRNA from 1 species
UACGAAGGGGGCUAGCGUUGCUCGGAAUCACUGGGCGUAAAGCGCACGUAGGCGGAUUGCUAAGUCAGGGGUGAAAUCCUGGAGCUCAACUCCAGAACUGCCUUUGAUACUGGCGACCUUGAGUCCGGGAGAGGUGAGUGGAACUGCGAGUGUAGAGGUGAAAUUCGUAGAUAUUCGCAAGAACACCAGUGGCGAAGGCGGCUUACUGGUCCGGUUCUGACGCUGAGGCGCGAAAGCGUGGGGAGCAAACAG